rnacentral:rRNA from 1 species
UGCGUAGGCGGUUAUCUAAGUCAGGUGUGAAAUCUCUCGGCUCAACCGGGAAACUGCGCUUGAAACUGGGUGACUGGAGGGAUGCAGGGGUGUGUGGAACUUCCGGUGGAGCGGUGAAAUGUGUAGAUAUCGGAAGGAACGCCAGCAGCGAAAGCGGCACACUGGGCAUUUACUGACGCUGAGGCACGAAAGCUAGGGGAGUGAACGGGAUUAGAUACCCCGGUAAUCCUAGCCGUAAACACUGAGCACUGGAGGAGGGAGGUUUCGGCCUUCUUUCUCGUAGCGAAAGCGUUAAGUGCUCCGCCUGGGGAGUAUGGUCGCAAGGCUGAA